rnacentral:rRNA from 1 species
UCGGGAAUUUUGGGCAAUGGGCGAAAGCCUGACCCAGCAACGCCGCGUGGAGGAUGAAGUUUUUCGGAAUGUAAACUCCGUAAGAAUGGGAAGAAUAAGGGAAGGCUAAUACCCCUCCCGAUGACGGUACCAUUCGUAAGCUCCGGCUAACUCCGUGCCAGCAGCCGCGGUAAUACGGGGGGAGCAAGCGUUGUUCGGAUUUACUGGGCGUAAAGGGCGCGUAGGCGGCGCAACAAGUCACUUGUGAAAUCUCCGAGCUUAACUCGGAGCGGCCAAGUGAUACUGUCGUGCUAGAGUGCGGAAGGGGCUACUGGAAUUCUCGGUGUAGCGGUGAAAUGCGUAGAUAUCGAGAGGAACACCUGCGGCGAAGGCGGGUAGCUGGGCCGACACUGACGCUGAGGCGCGAAAGCCAGGGGAGCGAACGG